AAGAUGAUCUUUAAAAACCCUUUUUGCCCUUAAGUCUAUUUUUUUUUCGUUUUUGUUUGCUCCUUCAAUUGGGGGUAAAAUGGCCUUAUUUUGAUGAAAGUUCUCUUAUUGAUCUAAGGCAAACUUUUUCGUGUAUGACAAUUUUGCCCUUCACUAAUUACACUAACAGUUUUUUAGAUAAAGGAUAAGACUUUGAGCAAAAUUGUAAUUUCACAUUAUAUACACACUGCCCAAAGCACUUUAAUUUGAAUUUUUUUCCAAUCUCUCUUUCAUCUCUUUGGUCCGUAAAACAUCUCUCAAUUCUUCUCAUUCUUCUCACUUCUCAUUCUUCAUCUCUUCUUUUGCUCUCUCUCUUUAAGUCUUUCAAUACACAGAGAAAGAAGAAGAAGAUCCACGAAGAAGAUUCGUCGUAGAUAGAGAAAGAAAUCUGAGAAAGAAACGACAGGAGAAGGAGAGAGAAGAUCCACCAGAUAAGAACACCUACAUGAGAUACUGGAUUGAAGUUGAAGUUCGUUUUGAAACUCAUAAGUGCAAAUUUCUUUUUUGGGACCGUGAAUGUUCUCAACUCAUGGGAAAGAAUGCAGCUGAAUUGAGGGCUCUUAUGAUGGAGGAAGGUGAAUUUGUUGAAUUAUAGGGAUGAUCCAGAAAUAAUUCAACAUAUCAAAGACCAGAUCAAUAAUGAUGAGAUUAUUGUUUUUUAUAUGCAAUCUACUCAUCUAUAAAAAUUUGCAUUAAUUCAAACCCAAAAAAAUCAGAAUUUUCUUUCCUUCUCUAGUGUUUGUUAACUGUUGCUGAGAACGGAUCGGCAAACAUGGUACUCUCAUGCUUGUUUUUCUUUUGUCUAUUAUGAUUUUAAUUUUCAAUUGGCACUCCACUUUUCGGCAUCUUGUUCCCAGAAAUAAAAUAACAACAAGAAGACAAAUGAUUUGAUGCUGAGAUUAAUUUGAAGAAACCCAAAAACAAGAAACCCAUAUCGAUUUUGGAAUUGUUAGAGAGAAGACCUAGAUUGCGAACAAAGCAAACAACUAGUGAAGAAAAAAACUCAACCCAUCAUCAUUCACCAAACAAUAGUAUCAUAGAUCUCAAUAAUCACAAAUCAAAACUCUGAGAUUCGUUUGCGUUUUGUUGUUGUUCUUGUUGUUUUGUUCUUGUCGAUUCGUUUAAGUUUUUGUUGUUUUUUAUGGGUUUCGUUUGCGUUUUGCUCUUGUCGUUUGCCGUUGGUUUCAUUUGCGUUUUCUGGGUUUGGUUGGGUUUGAGUUUGAAGAUGAAAGAAUGGUUUGAGGUUGAAGAUGAAACUUGUGUUGUUAUUCAUUUUGUUCUCUUAAUAUUUUUUUUAAUGUUAAUUUGUUCUUUUAAUUUUUUGGUUGUGUUAUUGUUUUUUAAAUUUUCUUAAAAAAAUAAAUAUGUAAGGUUGAAAUAUAUUUAUCUACGUGGCAUUAAUAAAAUUAAUAAAAAAAUAAAUAAAAGCCACUUGGCAUGCCACGUCAAGAUUCUGAUACAAUCACCUGCCAAGUUGUGCA